UUUCAGUAUUGAUGCUGAUGAGGAGAAGCUUAUACUGUAUGAACGGACUGAAGUAACUGAUCACGAACUGAUUCCUGGUGGUCGGAACAUUAAAGUUACUGAGGAAAACAAGCACCAAUAUGUCGAUUUAGUUGCUGAGCAUCGGUUGACAACUGCUAUCCGUCCUCAAAUAAAUGCCUUUUUGGAGGGAUUCAAUGAAUUAAUUUCUAGGGAAUUGAUAUCCAUCUUUAAUGACAAGGAAUUAGAAUUGUUGAU
rnacentral:misc_RNA from 1 species